rnacentral:rRNA from 1 species
UACGGAGGGUGCAAGCGUUGUCCGGAUUUAUUGGGUUUAAAGGGUGCGUAGGCGGCCUAAUAAGUCAGUGGUGAAAGCCUCCAGCUUAACUGGAGAACUGCCAUUGAUACUGUUAGGCUUGAGUAUACUUGAGGUAGGCGGAAUUGACAGUGUAGCGGUGAAAUGCAUAGAUAUUGUCAAGAACACCAAUUGCGAAGGCAGCUUACUAAAUUAUAACUGACGCUGAGGCACGAAAGUGUGGUAGUCAAACAGG